rnacentral:rRNA from 1 species
UACGUAUGGUGCGAGCGUUGUCCGGAAUUAUUGGGCGUAAAGAGCUCGUAGGCGGUGUGUCACGUCGGCCGUGAAAACCUGCAGCUUAACUGUGGGCGUGCGGUCGAUACGGGCAUCACUGGAGUUCGGCAGGGGAGACUGGAAUUCCUGGUGUAGCGGUGAAAUGCGCAGAUAUCAGGAGGAACACCGGUGGCGAAGGCGGGUCUCUGGGCCGAUACUGACGCUGAGGAGCGAAAGCGUGGGGAGCAAACAGG